CUUUCCGCGCAAAACCCGCGCUGCCAUUUUAGGGGCAAAGGGAAACUCCCUCGGUUGGGAGGGGUUGUGUGCCAUGGUAGCGUUCGGCUGGCGCCAUGUUGGGAGGUCGCGGCCGGCCAGGCCUCGAAGGGACCGGUCGCCAUCCGCCCGACGCCUCUCUGGGGUCCCUGCCACCCAAGAACCCUGAAAUACACACGAAAAGAAUAUAAGGGCGCGGUCGCCUAAAUGGAACCGAUCCCCCCCCCCCACCGCCAUCGUUAUAGAUCGCCUGAGUGUCCCUCAAAACAGCCGAAAACCAAGCCUCCGAAAACCUCUGGCAAUACACAGGCCCGCGACAUCUCCUUACCUGUGCGGGCUUUCGGGCCCCUGGGGUGCUUGUAUUCGGGAAGAGGGGGGCUGCUGCUGCUGCUGCCGCCGCUGUUGCUACUGUUAAGCCGCUAGGCCCAGGCCACGGUACCGCCCAGCCCGAAUUUCGGGCUCCGAGGGCGGAUAGGCCCGAGCGAAUCUAAAAGAAACAAUGGGAUUAGAGGAGCCCGCGCGGAAGUUCAGGACGGCGGCUUCGGCAGCUCAGGAUCCACCCCUGCGACAGCUUCGGCAAGCUCUGUGAAAUGGCGGCCGCUGCUUCCUCGUACUCACAUCCACCAACACACAUACACACACACAAACACACGGGGCCUCACAGAGCUCCCAGCACGGGCUCUCGCGAGAAGCUGUCCCUAGUUCCAGACCGGAGCAGCCAAAAUAUCGCGAGACGUAAGCACGGCCCCAGCGACCAUGGCCCAAUCUCGCGCAAUGAUUGCGCCACAGAUAUUCCCAUCCCCCACUUAGAGCGGCGCCUUUGACACCCUCUCCACAUAGACGUCCGUAUCUCGCGAGACCGCGCAAGAAGCUAGAGCAAAGACAGUUGGUACACUUCCCGUCAAUCUUUCUAAAAACUGAACGCUGAGUGGAGCUCGGUGGUUUCCUCCUCCUUGUGGCGCCUCCUCACAGCUAUCUGAAGGUUUCUCUCCCAGAGCUGACCGCCGCUCCCCUCCCCCGGGCCUCCCACCCUGGUGUCUGUCAAGGUCGCCAUAAAGCAAUUUGUCCAUAUGGCGACAGAAUAUAACGAAAACUGCCCUCUAUAGAUUAACCUCCAAGGGUGAAAAAGUGAAAAGCGUGUAAGAAAGAAGCCAAGAGGAGACUGUAGGGGGCUAUGGGUGUAGAAUAAAAAUUAGAUUCUCCGGCCUUUUGGAGCCAGUGGGCUACGCUCGGCUGACUAAACACCCUUGGAAAUAGUGGAGAAAGGCAAAGAGAAGGUGAAGAAACAAAGUGCUUCCCUUGGCAAUGGAUCAGCUUUGUGCCUCGGAUUUGAUACUCCGGCCUUGUGUCAGGGUUCCUAUUGUUUUCUUCAAAAAUGUCCCCCAUUCCCCGGGUACUUGACUUCUAGCCCUUCAAGUUUCCCAGAUACCUGACAGUAUAAAAACAUCACAUUUCUCUGGUCAACACUGAAAAAGAAGAGGCAGCCGAGAGGUUGUUGACUAUAGGCUUUCUCCUCCAUGAUAAAAAUAUUUGAAAAAAAAUUUUUUUGAAAAAGUUAAGAGGACUUAAGGGGGGAAAAAUCUUACAGUUAAGUCUAUUAAGAGCUUAAUGAUUGAGGGUAAAGAUAGACAUGAGAGAUAAUUUGGCUCUUGUAGCUGCUCCAACACCUUGUGACCUUGGACAAGUAAAUUAAUCUCUCAAAGCCUAUCCUCCAUUUCCUUUUAUGAAGAAGGGAGGCGGUAGCAUAAUUACUAGGCUAAGCUUCGUGAAACUGACCUAAGCUGAUAAUGCUCACUGUUGAAUUCUCAGUGUUUAGUUAGCUUGGUGCCCAGCCAGGUGGACACUCAAUAAGUGAAUGAAGACCUCCUAGAAGCAUAGUGACGAUUAAAUGAGAUAAUGUCCAUAAAGUACCUGGCAAAUAUUUAAUUCUCAGAAAAGGGCCCAGAGGCAGAAUGCUGUAGGGCUGAAACUGGCUCAUGAUUGAAGUCCAAUAAAUGGUGGUCGAGUGGAAAAAAAAUCUGUUAAUGGAAGCAAAAAGAAAUGCAGUCAAACCUUAACAUUGCAAAAGAUUUGGGAUUUAAGCAAAUCUAGCAAUAGGAAGAUCCUGCUGACAAGGCAUCACAAGAUGGAUAUACACCUUGAAAAUGUUGGAUGAAAAACAAAAGCAACAAUCCACAAUGAUUUUGAAUGAGAGCAUGUGAUUACAUGAUAUGAGUGAAUGGGCUUAUACAAUGAAUAGCCCAGAAAAAAAGGAUGUAUUUAGUAGGCUCAUUCUUUUCUGGAGCUGGAAAAAAUAGGUUCUUAACAAUUAUUUUCUGGAGGAGGCCCAAAGAAACAUUAUUUGUCUAAAUAUCUCUAAAUAAUUAGGUCCUAUCUCCUUAUAUAAGUGAAGCAUCUGAGUUGGAAUAUAUGCAGCAUGAACAUGA